AAGUGACAAUGUCGCCUCUUGUGCCACUCCUCUGCAUCUUUGUCUUCUUCACUCAUGACUGCAAUGGAGAGAUAUCUGUGACCCAAACACCAAAAGCUAAAUCAACAAGGCCAGGAGAAGAUGUUACUAUUAAUUGUAAAACAAGUAAAUCAGUAUACUCUUCCAGUAAUGGUUUUAACUGGUUGUCCUGGUUCCACCAGAGACCCAAUGAGGCUCCUAAACUGAUUAUCUAUUUAGCAAGCAAUCUUCAGUCAGGGAUUCCAAAUCGCUUCAGUGGUAGUGGAUCAGGGACUGACUUCACUCUGACCAUCCGUGGAGCUCAACCUGAAGAUGCAGGACAUUAUUACUGUCAGCAGGGAGUGGAGCGCCCUCACACAGUGACAGAUACCCGUACAAAAACCUGCCCUGCUCAGUGGCACAUGUGCAGCCAGCCUUACCACAGAUUCUAA